rnacentral:lncRNA from 1 species
ACGUCAGCUUGAGUCUUACUGUACGUCCGGCUGCAUUUACAUACAUCAAGGAAAUUAGGGCAUUAAAAAUAUGCAAAUCCUGCUGCUUGAAGAAGAGACUGUAGAUUCCCGGAGCGAUCGUCCCUGUUAUUGAAGAUUGUAAUUAAAGGAACAGAAACAAACCAACCCGCACCCCCGCACUCCCCCAAAAAACAACAACAACCAAAAACCCCGAAUGACAAAUAUCUGUUAGGCAGUGAGAAGAGGUUUCUGCUGCUCCGGUUCUGUGGCUGAGGACGGCCGGCCUGCAGCGCUGCACGGAGAAGAGAACAGGUUAGAGGAGGCUGCUCCAGACGUCUCUCUAUGCAUAAUCAGGGCUUCACCGCUGCGCCAUUCUCCUCUCCUCCUCCUCCUGCUGCUGCUGCUCCUGUUGGUUCCAGCGUGUAUUAUUUUUAAUACUGAUGCAUAUGUAAAGGAAAUCAGCGUUUCCUACGAAGUAGGCGAAGGGACCGAGUGCACCCAGGCUAUCUGGGAGGAGUAUUGGCAGGGAGGGAGGGGAUACUGCUGCCGAUAUUCUCAUUCCACCUCCUCCGUUGUCCACCCUGCCCCAGCUCAGGGAAAGCGCCCGACCACCCUCACCCACCAAGUGGUUGGUGAUGCUCUCUAUGGAUAAUACAGUCUCGAUGUGUAGUCAACAAAAAUACCACAGCAAAAAUCGUAUUCCUUAGUAAGUACUGGUCAUAUCAUGUCAUCGAUUUUUAAGCAGAACUCUCCUGUGAAGUCAUCGGAGACUUCAGGUUUAAAAAGAUGACACUAUAUUGCUCCGGUCUGCAUAAGAUUAAAUCGAUUAACCAAAAAUAAGUUAGAAAUGUAAAAUAUAUUGUUUUCACCUUUGGUAGUUAAACACAAUUAAAAAUAAAGCUCCGUCCUACAAUUUCUACUGACGCA